rnacentral:misc_RNA from 1 species
GAUGAAGAACGUAGCGAAAUGCGAUAAGUAGUGUGAAUUGCAGAAUUCAGUGAAUCAUCGAAUCUUUGAACGCACAUUGCGCCCCUUGGUAUCCCGAGGGGCAUGCCUGUUCGAGCGUCAUUAUAACCCUCAAGCUCAGCUUGGUGUUGGGGCCUGCUGCACUGGCAGCCCUUAAAAUCAGUGGCGGCGCCAUCUGGCUCUAAGCGUAGUAAUUCUUCUCGCUAUGGAGUCCUGGUGGAUGCUUGCCAUCAACCCCCAAUUUUUCUAUGGUUGACCUCGGAUCAGGUAGGGAUACCCGCUGAACUUAAGCAUAUCAAUAAGCGGAGGA